rnacentral:rRNA from 1 species
AUUGAACGCUGGCGGCAUGCCUUACACAUGCAAGUCGAGCGGCAGCACGGGUGCUUGCCCCUGGUGGCGAGUGGCGAACGGGUGAGUAAUACAUCGGAACAUGUCCUGUAGUGGGGGAUAGCCCGGCGAAAGCCGGAUUAAUACCGCAUACGAUCUACGGAUGAAAGCGGGGGACCUUCGGGCCUCGCGCUAUAGGGUUGGCCGAUGGCUGAUUAGCUAGUUGGUGGGGUAAAGGCCUACCAAGGCGACGAUCAGUAGCUGGUCUGAGAGGACGACCAGCCACACUGGGACUGAGACACGGCCCAGACUCCUACGGGAGGCAGCAGUGGGGAAUUUUGGACAAUGGGCGAAAGCCUGAUCCAGCAAUGCCGCGUGUGUGAAGAAGGCCUUCGGGUUGUAAAGCACUUUUGUCCGGAAAGAAAUCCUUGGCUCUAAUACAGUCGGGGGAUGACGGUACCGGAAGAAUAAGCACCGGCUAACUACGUG